rnacentral:rRNA from 1 species
AUGAAUUCGCAAAAGAAUUUCAAUGCCUUGCUUGAAAAAUUGCUUAAAGUUGAUGAAUUGGCUAGGAACGUUGAUAGAAUUUCUUUUGAUGUUGAUUCUUUGAAACUUAGAUCUAUUCCUCCUAAGCAUGAUAUCAAUGAGUCUCUCAAAGCCAUGAGAAUUUCCAUUGAUGAGUGCAAAGAAAGAACCGCUAGGAGGCGUGCUAAGAAAGAUUGCUUUAUGAAAGCGUGUUCUUCAAAUUUCUAUGAAAAUAAAGAUGAAGAUCUCAAAGUUAUUCAUGUGUCCCCUAUUAAAUCUUUGUUUUGCAAUAUGAAUCUUGAUAAUGAUGGGACUUAA